rnacentral:rRNA from 1 species
GAUGAACGCUGGCGGCGUGCCUAAUACAUGCAAGUCGAGCGAACAGACGAGGAGCUUGCUCCUCUGACGUUAGCGGCGGACGGGUGAGUAACACGUGGAUAACCUACCUAUAAGACUGGGAUAACUUCGGGAAACCGGAGCUACUACCGGAUAACAUGUUGAACCGCAUGGUUCAACAGUGAAAGACGGUCUUGCUGUCACUUAUAGAUGGAUCCGCGCCGCAUUAGCUAGUUGGUAAGGUAACGGCUUACCAAGGCAACGAUGCGUAGCCGACCUGAGAGGGUGAUCGGCCACACUGGAACUGAGACACGGUCCAGACUCCUACGGGAGGCAGCAGUAGGGAAGCUUCCGCAAUGGGCGAAAGCCUGACGGAGCAACGCCGCGUGAGUGAAGAAGGUCUUCGGAUCGUAAAACUCUGUUAUUAGGGAAGAACAAAUGUGUAAGUAACUAUGCACGUCUUGACGGUACCUAAUCAGAAAGCCACGGCUAACUACGUG